AGGAGAGAGAAAUGUUCCCAGAGAUACCUUCACCUGCUCGUUGUGGGAGGACACCUGGAAAGACACCUGCAGCAUAACAAGAUCUUUGUGACCACCAACAUGGGUCAGCCUCUUCCGCAGGAAAUAAAGAGUGAUUAAUGCUGUGUGGUAGAAGAGAAGAGAAGUCUGGAAUGUGGCCUUACCUCAGGAAUAUACUCAGGCUGAGUGCUUCUUUCUAGUAUGUUCUUUAUACACCAGACCUCUGCUGAAUAAUGGAGUCCCAGAGCUGGAAGAGAUCCUCAGAUGUCAUGAAGUCAUCCACUGCCUCCCAGCAGGUUUCAUUUGGAUGGUCUGUUUUCAGAUUGUCUGUUCCCAGUUGUGGGCUGGGCAAGGAGCAU